CGGACGGGUGAGUAACGCGUGGGUAACCUGCCUUGUACUGGGGGACAACAGUUAGAAAUGACUGCUAAUACCGCAUAAGCGCACAGUAUCGCAUGAUACAGUGUGAAAAACUCCGGUGGUACAAGAUGGACCCGCGUCUGAUUAGCUAGUUGGUAAGGUAACGGCUUACCAAGGCGACGAUCAGUAGCCGACCUGAGAGGGUGACCGGCCACAUUGGGACCGAGACACGGCCCAA
rnacentral:rRNA from 1 species